AUGGUGCCCAAGCAGGACCCUAAGCCGAAUUUCCAGGAGGGUGAGCGAGAGCUGUGCUUUCAUGGGCCUCUUCUCUAUGAAGCAAAGUGUGUAAAGGUUGCCAUAAAGGACAAACAAGUGAAAUACUUCAUCCAUUACAGUGGCUGGAAUAAAAAUUGGGAUGAAUGGGUGCCAGAAAGCAGAGUACUCAAAUAUGUGGACACCAAUUUGCAGAAACAGAGAGAACUUCAAAAGGCCAAUCAGGAACAAUAUGCAGAGGGCAAGAUGAGAGGGGCUGCUCUGGGGAAGAAGACAUCCGGUCUGCAACAGAAAAAUGUUGAAGUGAAAACAAAAAAGAACAAGCAGAAAACACCUGGAAAUGGAGAUGGUGGCAGUACCAAUGAGACACCUCAGCCUCCUAGGAAGAAGAGAGCCCGGGUAGAUCCUACCAUUGAAAAUGAAGAAACAUUCAUGAACAGAGUUGAAGUUAAAGUGAAGAUUCCUGAAGAGCCGAAACCCUGGCUUGUGGAUGACUGGGACUUGAUCACCAGACAAAAGCAGCUUUUUUAUCUUCCUGCCAAGAAGAAUGUGGAUUCCAUUUUGGAGGAUUAUGCAAAUUAUAAGAAGUCGCAAGGAAAUACAGAUAAUAAAGAGUAUGCUGUUAAUGAGGUGGUGGCAGGGAUAAAGGAAUACUUCAAUGUCAUGCUGGGCACUCAACUCCUCUACAAGUUUGAAAGACCACAGUACGCUGAAAUCCUCGCCGACCACCCGGAUGCACCCAUGUCCCAGGUGUAUGGAGUACCACAUUUGCUGAGAUUAUUUGUGCGAAUUGGAGCGAUGUUGGCCUACACGCCUCUCGAUGAGAAAAGCCUUGCUUUAUUACUGAACUAUCUACCUGAUUUUCUCAAGUACCAGGCGAAGAAUUCUGCAACUUUGUUCGGUGCUAGUGAUUAUGAAGUGGCUCCUCCUGAAUAACAUCGGAAAGCCGUGUGAGGGCUGUGCUCUUCCUCUCUCACUUGCGCUUGGAUCUCUGUAAACUGUUUGGUUCUUAGUCCUUCUCUGGUACAAAUGAUGGACUUUGAAGACCGUUAGUGUAUAACAGAGUUGUUUGUUUCCUCUUUGAUUUUAAACAGAGAAAAUAAAAGGAGUAACUGCUCCUUUUUUCUUUCUUU